rnacentral:lncRNA from 1 species
UGCAUGUCCAUGAGAUGUGGUUUAGGGUUGGCAUGGCCCCGCACCAUGGGCAUGUGUCCCUGUGUUGACUGGGGAA